AUUGAACGCUGGCGGCAGGCUUAACACAUGCAAGUCGAACGAGUGGCGGACGGGUGAGUAAUGCUUGGGAAUCUGGCUGAUGGAGGGGGAUAACUACGGGAAACUGUAGCUAAUACCGCGUACCAUAGGAUGAGCCCAAUUGGGAUUAGGUAGUUGGUGUGGUAAAGGCUCAACAAGCCGACGAUCGCUAGCUGGUCUGAGAGGAUGACCAGCCACACUGGAACUGAGACACGGCCCAGACUCCUACGGGAGGCAGCAGUGGGGAAUAUUGCGCAAUGGGGGCAACCUGACGCAGCGAUGCCGCGUGUAUGAAGAAGGCCUUCGGGUUGUAAAGUUCUUUCGGUAGCGAGGCGUUAACUACAGAAGAAGCACCGGCUAACUCCGUGCCAGCAGCCGCGGUAAUUC
rnacentral:rRNA from 1 species